CAGAAGUCCGAGAGAAACUCUGCUCUCACAUUUUAAUGAACUGUUACUUGUCUUUCUCCUCUUGUCCUUCUGCAUUAUUAGAAAUGUAAAGUUAAUGUUUUAUUUUAAAACUAAGCGUCAGAGUUUCAUUGUCGUUUUGGAUGUGAAGAUGGACCAAACCUUGCGUUGUGUGCUGGGGUUUUUCUUGCUGAAUUUGAUCCCCCACGGAUUGGCUCAAG